UUCAAUGAACUGACUUUGACUCGUAAAAU
rnacentral:piRNA from 1 species